GAUGAUGAACAACUAUUUUACAUUCUCGGCUACGUUCACCGAUCUACUGUUUAAAGGCUUCAACGCAAACACUACUGGUGGAUUCGUGGCGACGGCGGUCGGCGUCGCCUGCCUGGCCAUCCUACAUGAGGCGCUGAAGUCCUACCGGAGCGUGCUGCUUCUCCGCGCGGAUGAGGCGACUCCAGCGAGGGCAGGAGGCAAGCGCGGGAAGCGACCCGCAGACGAACACACGCCACUCAUCCGAUCCGUGCUCGCGUCGCAGCGACGCGAGACACACUCGUGGAGAGCGAGGUUGGGCGUCCACCUGCUGCAGACGUUGCUGCACGCGCUGCAGCUGACGGAUCGCCUACCUACUCAUGCUCAUCGUCAUGUCGUACGACGCCUGGUCCUCGUCGCCGCCCCGCGGUCGGCCGCCCCGCGCGAUACCCGCGUUCG